AGGACGCUGGUGUGGUCCUGUGGAUGGGGCCCAUUCUGCCUGUGUCGGAGGCGCCCUUGGCUGGCUGGGGCUGCCCUGGGCCCCACAGGGCUCAAGUUCUGGGUGGAACAGAACCGACUGAAUAAACCCACUGCCCUACAGCCGCGUGGUGCACACCUACCGCCUCCCCAGCUGUGGCUGCCACCC
rnacentral:sRNA from 1 species